rnacentral:tmRNA from 2 species
GGGGAUGUAAAGGUUUCGACGGGGAUUUCAAACCUUGGUAAGCGAGCGGCGGUGCGGAACCGCCAUAAAAUCCGCAACUUUAAAAUUAACUGACAACAAAACAGUUGCUUUAGCAGCCUGAGUGCUGCUCGUUCCUACACAGAGUACCUCGGCUGUGUAAGGGGCGUCGAUUAGAGGUAAAUGUGAACAGGGGAGCGCUCCGAACCCUGUCACAGCUUAGGAGCUGCCAAAGUGCAUAGCCUGUUGAUGGGCGAUGCACCGAGGGAGAUUUAAAACACCAACUGCGCUCGGAGAAACCCUUGGCAAGAUUUUUUCGGACAGGGGUUCGAUUCCCCUCAUCUCCACCA